rnacentral:misc_RNA from 1 species
GAUGAAGAACGUAGCAAAAUGCGAUAAGUAAUGUGAAUUGCAGAAUUCAGUGAAUCAUCGAAUCUUUGAACGCACAUUGCGCCCGCUGGUAUUCCGGCGGGCAUGCCUGUUCGAGCGUCAUUUCAACCCUCAAGCCCCCGGGUUUGGUGUUGGGGAUCGGCUCUGCCCUUCUGGGCGGUGCCGCCCCCGAAAUACAUUGGCGGUCUCGCUGCAGCCUCCAUUGCGUAGUAGCUAACACCUCGCAACUGGAACGCGGCGCGGCCAUGCCGUAAAACCCCAACUUCUGAAUGUUGACCUCGGAUCAGGUAGGAAUACCCGCUGAACUUAAGCAUAUCAAUAAGCGGAUGA